rnacentral:rRNA from 1 species
UACGUAGGGGCCGAGCGUUGUCCGGAAUUACUGGGCGUAAAGCGCGCGCAGGCGGCGCCUCAAGCCCGACGUGAAAGCCCCCGGCUCAACCGGGGAGGGUCGUCGGGGACUGGGGCGCUUGAGGGCGGUAGGGGCCGGUGGAAUUCCCGGUGUAGUGGUGAAAUGCGUAGAGAUCGGGAGGAACACCAGUAGCGAAGGCGGCCGGCUGGGCCGACCCUGACGCUGAGGCGCGAAGGCGUGGGGAGCGAACGGG